rnacentral:rRNA from 1 species
AUGAACGCUGGCGGCGUGCCUUAUGCAUGCAAGUCGAACGGUCUCUUGGCCCGCAAGGGUUCAAGAGCAGUGGCGAACGGCUGAGUAAUACAUAAGUAACCUACCCUCGAGUGGGGAAUAAUUCUUCGAAAGAAGAACUAAUUCCGCAUAGCCUGGCCCCUCAUAAGAGGAGUCAGCAAAGGCGAAAGUCGCUUGAGGAGGGGCUUGUGUCCUAUCAGGUAGUUGGUGAGGUAAAGGCCCACCAAGCCUAUGACGGGUAGCUGGUCUGAGAGGAUGUACAGCCAGAUGGGGACUGAGAAACGGCCCCAACUCCUACGGGAGGCAGCAGCAGGGAAUCUUGCGCAAUGGGCGAAAGCCUGACGCAGCGACGCCGCGUGAGGGAUGAAGGCCUUAGGGUCGUAAACCUCUUUUUAUGGGGACGAGCAAGGACGGUACCCAUAGAAUAAGCCCCGGCUAACUACGU